rnacentral:rRNA from 2 species
AUGAUUUACAUUUGAGUGAGUGGCGAACUGGUGAGUAACACGUGGGAAACCUGCCCAGAAGCGGGGGAUAACACCUGGAAACAGAUGCUAAUACCGCAUAACAACUUGGACCGCAUGGUCCGAGUUUGAAAGAUGGCUUCGGCUAUCACUUUUGGAUGGUCCCGCGGCGUAUUAGCUAGAUGGUGGGGUAACGGCUCACCAUGGCAAUGAUACGUAGCCGACCUGAGAGGGUAAUCGGCCACAUUGGGACUGAGACACGGCCCAAACUCCUACGGGAGGCAGCAGUAGGGAAUCUUCCACAAUGGACGAAAGUCUGAUGGAGCAACGCCGCGUGAGUGAAGAAGGGUUUCGGCUCGUAAAACUCUGUUGUUAAAGAAGAACAUAUCUGAGAGUAACUGUUCAGGUAUUGACGGUAUUUAACCAGAAAGCCACGGCUAACUACGUGCCAGCAGCCGCGGUAAUACGUAGGUGGCAAGCGUUGUCCGGAUUUAUUGGGCGUAAAGCGAGCGCAGGCGGUUUUUUAAGUCUGAUGUGAAAGCCUUCGGCUCAACCGAAGAAGUGCAUCGGAAACUGGGAAACUUGAGUGCAGAAGAGGACAGUGGAACUCCAUGUGUAGCGGUGAAAUGCGUAGAUAUAUGGAAGAACACCAGUGGCGAAGGCGGCUGUCUGGGUCUGUAACUGACGCUGAGGCUCGAAAGUAUGGGUAGCAAACAGGAUUAGAUACCCUGGUAGUCCAUACCGUAAACGAU